rnacentral:lncRNA from 1 species
UCUGGAGUGCAGUGGCAUGAUCUCAGCUCACUGUAACCUUCCUCCAGAGUUCUAGCGAUUCUCAUGCCUCAGCCUCCCGAGUAGACGGGACUACAGGCACGUGCGCCACUGCGCCCAGCUAAUUUUUUGUAUUUCCGGUAGAGACGGGUUUCGCCAUGUUGGCUAGGCUGGUCUUGAACUCCUGGCCUCAAUUGAUCCACCCUUUUCGACCUCCCAAUGUGCUAGGAUUAGAGGCGUAAGCCACCACGCCCAGCCUAAAUCUUGAAUUUAUUUUUGUUAUAUCUGGCUGCUUCUAAUUUCCAGUAACAAUUUACUCAUCCCACAGAUAAAUACCGUGGGUGCUACUUUCUACCAUGCAUUGUUCUGGGUAUGAUACAUAAAGACCUAACAAUAAACGGAACUUUCCAGGCCCUUCCCUUUUGGAUCUUAUGUUCUAAUAGAGGAAGAUGGUCAAUAAGCAAAGAAGCAACUAAACAAACAAGAAAAUUAUCACAUAAUGGUAAAUAUUUCACAGAGAAUUAGAACAAAAUGAUAGGUAGAGAAUGGCCACUUCAGGCUGAUCAUCAGAAAAGGCCUGCCUUUAGGAUAUUUCCCCUCUCUCUCCCUUCCUUUCUAGUUCCCUUGCCAACAGGCCUUCGCCAUCUCACGACUACAUUAAUUAUUACAACAGCUUACUGGAUGGGCUUCUGGACUCCCGAAUCUACUCCAUAUCCUGCUGCUAGACCGAUCUUCUGUUUGAUUGUUGUGGAAAGAAGGGGAUAAGUCCUGUGGAAAAUUGUAAUUUUCUCCUUUGUUAAACAUACAGCCUAAAUUACAGAAUUCAGAUCUAAUUUUUACUCACCAGACAGAAAACUUAAUGACUCAUUUAAUUAAUAAGGGAUUAAAAUGGGAGAGAUCUCUUUGAAUUUUGGCUCUGAGACCUUUCUGAUUAGAGUUUAUGGAGAAGGAAUUAUGCAGUAUCUUGGAGGGAGCAAGGACCAAGGCCUUUUUCUUUAACCAUUGAGGCUGCACAGAAAAGAACAUUCACUCAUGGAGCUCCAACAAGUAAACAAUUUGCCACCGCAAUUCACAAUUCCAAUUCCCAACAAUGCCAAUUUGCCAUAGCAUUUUUUGGAUGAGCUAGUAAUCUGCUUCAGAAUCCUUAACAUCACGUUACUCAGCAAUAACUAAGUACUAUUCAGUUGGAGCCAACAAGCAAGAUGAAAUUCUAGUGCUAUUGCUGGUCAAGACCUUCCUUUUCACACUUAAGACAGGCAUCCCAUGUGACUCUCCUUGAGAUAAAAAGUGGACUGGAGGCCGGGCGCGGUGGCUCACGCCUGUAAUCCCAGCACUUUGGGAGGCCGAGGCGGGCGG